AGCGAACGCUGGCGGCAGGCCUAACACAUGCAAGUCGAACGGAUCCUUCGGGAUUAGUGGCGGACGGGUGAGUAACACGUGGGAACGUGCCUUUUGGUUCGGAACAACUCAGGGAAACUUGAGCUAAUACCGAAUGUGCCCUUCGGGGAAGAUUAUCGCCAUUAGAGCGGCCCGCGUCUGAUUAGCUAGUUGGUGAGGUAAAGGCUCACCAAGGCUACGAUCAGUAGCUGGUC
rnacentral:rRNA from 1 species